rnacentral:rRNA from 1 species
GAUGAACGCUGGCGGCGUGCCUAAUACAUGCAAGUCGAGCGAACAGAUAAGGAGCUUGCUCCUUUGACGUUAGCGGCGGACGGGUGAGUAACACGUGGGUAACCUACCUAUAAGACUGGGAUAACUUCGGGAAACCGGAGCUAAUACCGGAUAACAUUUGGAACCGCAUGGUUCUAAAGUGAAAGAUGGUUUUGCUAUCACUUAUAGAUGGACCCGCGCCGUAUUAGCUAGUUGGUAAGGUAACGGCUUACCAAGGCGACGAUACGUAGCCGACCUGAGAGGGUGAUGGGCCACACUGGAACUGAGACACGGUCCAGACUCCUACGGGAGGCAGCAGUAGGGAAGCUUCCGCAAUGGGCGAAAGCCUGACGGAGCAACGCCGCGUGAGUGAUGAAGGGUUUCGGCUCGUAAAACUCUGUUAUUAGGGAAGAACAAAUGUGUAAGUAACUGUGCACGUCUUGACGGUACCGAUACAGAAAGCCACGGCUAACUACGU